GCCUCCAGUUUCCGUGCAUCCUAGUUUAAAACCUGCAUCAUAAAAAGCCUGGAUAUAGACAUGAUUUGGUGCUAAAAAAACAACUUAUUCUUGUUUCUGGGAACUAUAACCAAAUUUCAAUUUCAAUGAGCAAAAUGCACUAGCUGAUAAGCCUUAAAACCCUAGAGAACUGGAAAAUUAAUUCAGUUUGGAUAUUUUAUUUUGGGUGGUCACAAAGAUCAAGUUGGGGAAGGCUAAGAGUGACAAAGUCAAAACAGUUAGCAACACGCAACCCAAUCAAAAUAAAAAGAAAAUCGAAUAGCUCUUGCUCUUGGCAUCAACAGCACUUUACUAACAUCUUAAUGCCUUUAAGAUUUAAAGCAAUCCAAAAUGAAAGUGAACCUAUGAGAAGAAAUGGCAAGUGACUUGGGU
rnacentral:misc_RNA from 1 species